GACGAACGCUGGCGGCGCGCUUAACACAUGCAAGUCGAGCGAGAACCGGUCCUUCGGGACCGGGGAAAGCGGCGAACGGGUGAGUAACACGUGGGUCAUCCACCCUCGGCACCGGAAUAGCCCGGGGAAACCCGGAUUAAUGCCGGAUGGCCCAGCAGCUCUUCGGGGCGGCUGGAAAAGGUAGCUUCGGCCUCCGGCCGGGGACGAGCCCGCGGCGGAUUAGCUCGUGGGUGGGGUAACGGCCUACCAAGGCGACGAUCCGUAGCUGGUCUGAGAGGACGAUCAGCCACACUGGGACUGAGAAACGGCCCAGACUCCUACGGGAGGCAGCAGUGGGGAAUCUUGCGCAAUGGGCGAAAGCCUGACGCAGCGACGCCGCGUGAGGGAAGAAGGCUUUCGGGUUGUAAACCUCUUUCAGGAGGGACGAAGCUACUCGGGUGAAUAGCCCAGAGGGUGACGGUACCUCCAGAAGAAGCCCCGGCUAACUACGUGCCAGCCGCCGCAGUAACAC
rnacentral:rRNA from 1 species